rnacentral:rRNA from 1 species
GCCUGAUCUAGCCAUGCCGCGUGAGUGAUGAAGGCCUUAGGGUCGUAAAGCUCUUUCGCCUGUGAAGAUAAUGACUGUAGCAGGUAAAGAAACCCCGGCUAACUCCGUGCCAGCAGCCGCGGUAAUACGGAGGGGGUUAGCGUUGUUCGGAAUUACUGGGCGUAAAGCGCGCGUAGGCGGACAUUUAAGUCAGAGGUGAAAUCCCAGGGCUCAACCCUGGAACUGCCUUUGAUACUGGGUGUCUUGAGUUCGAGAGAGGUGAGUGGAAUUCCGAGUGUAGAGGUGAAAUUCGUAGAUAUUCGGAGGAACACCAGUGGCGAAGGCGGCUCACUGGCUCGAUACUGACGCUGAGGUGCGAAAGUGUGGGGAGCAAACAGGAUUAGAUACCCUGGUAGUCCACACCGUAAACGAUGAAUGCCAGUCGUCGGGCAGUAUACUGUUCGGUGACACACCUAACGGAUUAAGCAUUCCGCCUGGGG